rnacentral:lncRNA from 1 species
GUCCUGUUCAGAUUCCAGUACAGACCUUUUCUCUUAGUGGACAGUAGCCAAAAGAGGGAUGGAGUCAAAGCAUCCAGAAGGCGUUAAAAACUGCUUUGAUGAGAUGGAAGUCACCUAUGCUCACAUUCCAUGGACCAAAAUCAGGCAAAUGGGCAAGUUCAAAGUCAGUGAUGCCACCAUUGUACUUUGCAGACAAGAACCCUAGAGGAGCUGGGUGAUGGUGGCACACACGUUUAAUCCCAGCACUUGGGAGGCAGAUGCAGGCGGAUCUCUGUGAACUUGAGGCCGGCUUGGUCUACAGAGAUUUAGCUCUAGCUAAAUGUAUGCUGGCGGAAUGGGCUGGGCCUUCCAGAACAACUCCCAAAGCAACACCACAGACUCAUCCCACUGGGGAGCUGCCAUUUCUGCUGCUGCCACGGAGCCAGGAAAGCAACACGGGAGACGACAGACCAGGGAUGAAGAAUGGGCCAUAGUAUCCAUUGCCACAGAACUGCCAUAGCUUCCAGAUCCACACCUUCGGACAGAUCCUCUCCUCUCCCAGAAGAGAGCACUGGACAUGAGGACCCUGCACGGUUCUCACAGAGAGGCCCAGGUCCUACAAAGAUGCACUUAGCAGCAGCAGCAGUGUGGGGGACCGAAUAUCCCUGUUAUGAAAUAUUCUGGGUUCCAGGCCCUGGCUGCCAUAAACAGCGGUGGUGCCAGGAAGCUCCGAGUCACCGUUGUAUCGUUAAUUAACACUAGGCUGUUACUGUUUACCAAGGCGAUAUGCCUCCUAAUUUGCAUCUCUGUAGCUUAAGCCUUGAGUAGGCCCAUACCUGGGCUGAAGACCCUGCCUGCAUGACCAAGAGUUGUUUAGGUAACAGAAUCACUUGAUGUUAGCGGUAUGUAUUGUGAUAAAUGCUUCCCGAUGUUGUCCCUG